rnacentral:misc_RNA from 1 species
AACAUCGCGCACCUGCGGGAACCUGCGGAGGGAUCAUUACUGAGUCUAACAAACUCCCAAACCCCUGUGAACAUACCUACUGUUGCUUCGGCGGGACCGCCCCGGGCGCCUUCGCGGUGCCCCGGAACCAGGCGCCCGCCGGGGACAUCAAACUCUUGAUUGUUAUAGUGGCAUUCUCUGAGUAAAACAUACAAAUAAGUCAAAACUUUCAACAAUGGAUCUCAGAUCGGAAGAGCACAC